rnacentral:rRNA from 1 species
ACGCUCGACACCUACGAGAGGCAGCAGUGGGGAAUAUUGCACAAUGGGGGAAACCCUGAUGCAGCGACGCCGCGUGGAGGAAGAAGGUCUUCGGAUUGUAAACUCCUGUUGUUGGGGAAAAAGAGGAUGGUACCCAACAAGGAAGUGACGGCUAACUACGUGCCAGCAGCCGUGGUAAUCUGAGCGGGCUGGCAAGGC